UGGGGAAUUUUCCGCAAUGGGCGAAAGCCUGACGGAGCAAUACCGCGUGAGGGAGGAAGGCUCUUGGGUUGUAAACCUCAAAACUUAGGGAAGAAAAAAAUGACGGUACCUAAUGUAAGCGUCGGCUAACUCCGUGCCAGCAGCCGCGGUAAUACGGAGGAUGCAAGCGUUAUCCGGAAUCAUUGGGCGUAAAGAGUCCGUAGGUGGCACUUCAAGUCUGCUUUCAAAGACCGAAGCUAAACUUCGGAAAGGGAGUGGAAACUGAAGAGCUAGAGUAUAGUAGGGGUAGAGGGAAUUCCUAGUGUAGCGGUGAAAUGCGUAGAGAUUAGGAAGAACACCAGUGGCGAAGGCGCUCUACUGGGCAUAUACUGACACUGAGGGACGAAAGCUAGGGGAGCGAAAGGGAUUAGAUACCCCUGUAGU
rnacentral:rRNA from 1 species